rnacentral:lncRNA from 1 species
UUUUCAUUCAUUUGCAUAACAACAAUAUACAACAAAAACUAUUUCUAUUCUACUUGCGAGAAAUAGAAGCACUACAACAGAAUUAUGUUAUAGGGACACAUGUUUGGGACACUUUUGAGUAAGUGUCCCAUUUAUGCUAAAACUUAAAAAAUGUCUACUAAUGCCUAAAUAUAAAGCCCAAUCCAACCAAAAAUAAAAGAUUACUCUACUCAACCCACCACACCCAGUCCAUUUGGCCCGAUUACAAAUAGAAAAGAAAAGAAAAAAAAAAAGCAAUUACCAUCUUUUCUUCUCUCUUCACUCAAUCUACUGAAAUUCUAGAUGAAGAGCCUUUCCUGUCGUCCUCCUUCGCCACCGCAGCCAACGAGAUAGAGUUUCGGCGGUUGCUAAAUGCUUAAAUAAGUGUUGGUAAAUUAGCAGCACUCUUUUAGGUUAUAGCGACACUCUUUAACUGUCACUAUAUAUCUAGCGACCCCACAUAUAGCAACACUUUUUAAAAGUGUCGGUAAUUUUAGCUAGCGACACUUUUUUGACAUGUACCUACAUUUAAAAGUGUCGCUAUAAACCGUUUUUGUUGUAGUGAAGGUCAAAAAAAGGUGUUCUUUUGGUGGAGCUUUGGGCUCAUCUACUUGUGCAGAGUUGGUGAAGCCAUACGACAAGGGUCGAGCCGUUGUAUCUUGGAGGAGAUAAGUCAGUGCUCUGCUGCAUCGGUUCACAGACUUUGCCAACCGCAGAGGGCUUUAAUCUCCUUAAAGAGAGCGAGAUAUCCGU